ensembl:misc_RNA 7SK 7SK RNA
GGACGUAAGGGCAGUCUGGCUGCCACAUCUGUCACCCCAUGGAUCAUCAGGAUUGAUAUGGCUGAUCUGGCUGGCUGGGCAGGUGACCCCUGCCUCCCUCACCAUUGCAUGUGUGUCCCUCCUGAAGCUGCAUGCUCGGUCAAAGGGGACAACCAUUUCUGAUAAAGGGGGACCAGUCUUCUGUCGAGGGUAUACGAGUAGCUGCAUUCCCCUGCUAGAACCUCCAAACAAGCUCUCAGGAACAAUAACUGUUAAUAUGUGUAAAUACUUACCCUUCUCAGUUAAUGUGGUGUCCUUAGGAUGAACUGCUGCUGGAUAAUUAAAGCCACAGAGGUUAUGUGUGGUGAUU